UUCCUCUUCAGAGUAAUAAAAUAUUCUCUGUGUGGCUAUGGAGUAGGCAAAAAUUGCCAAACUACGUAAAUUGUCUUGCUUUGUUUUGCGAGUUCUUAUUAUUUUCUCUUUAAAUUAUUAUAUAUUUCAUUUAUUUCGACAAGUUUCCCAACAAACCAAACAUGAAAAACUUGAAAAAUAUUUUUUUUCGUAUCAAACACACACUUUCUCUUCAUUAAGUUGGAUAUAAAAUAUCUAUGUUUUCAAGGUGAAAAAUAGCUUCAAUAGAAAUAAUUUUGACCCUUUCCUAUGGGUUAAACUUGAUGGAUUUUCAAUGUCUUUGUCUUAUGCUUUUUAUGUUUUGAUGAUCUAACAAACUUAUUGUUAAGAACCAGAUAGAGAACCUAACCCAGUUGGUACACAUUUCAAAUGAACCAUAUCCAGUCUGAUCUGCAGCAAAUGAACUGCUAUAAAGAAAAACACAACAGAGACCUGUUCCCUUAGGGUUCUAUUACAGAAGUACAAGUUAACUAUACAGCUGGAACACAACUGCAGAAAGUGACUGUCCGUAUCUGUACAAGCGAUAGUGCAGUAGUCACUUCUUAUUGGGAAGAAGCGUAUACCAAGAAUUGACAUCACCAUUGUGAUAUCUUUUGUAGUAUAACAACCUGGUGCAAGGCACAACAUUACUCACUUGAGCAUUUAGUGAUAUUCCCUCGAGCAGUAAAGUGUUCAUCCAGCAUUGAAGUCACAAGUGCGUCAAGAAUAAUAAGACAACUCCACUAAAGGAUCAGUUUCACAAAGAGUCUAUGUGUAUCCAUAGUUGAGUUGUAAUCUUGUUAUUUGCUCUUCAUUGUAAUUGCUAUCUUGCUUUCUUAGAAGCUUUCUUUUAGGAAAACAUAAAAUCACAAACCGUCUAAGUUUGUGUUGUGACUAGAGUUAGUCAUAAGUCACUAGAGAGUGACAAAGUAGCUUGUGGUAAGAGUAUCACAAGUUAGUUAAAUUGAAGUCUUUGUAAUAAAGUCAUUACAAAGUUGCUUGUAAUAGUGAGAUUAAAAGUUAGUGAAGUUGAAAGCCUACAAGUGUAGGUCGGCAUCUCUUUU
rnacentral:lncRNA from 1 species